CGCUAACUGAGAUCAGCCUCCUGUCACCCAGAGUCACCCAGAGCCAGCUCUCCUGGCCCACCUGAGCAUGCCCCUGACGAGCCUGCCUGUCCCGCCUGAGCAUGCUGCUGCAGCUGGAAGGAGCAACAUGGGUUCAGUCCCAGAGCUUGGUGGCUGGCCGAUAUGAAACACUCUCCUGGCCAGGAACUGGGACCGCUACGUCGCCCUGCAGACUCAGAGCAGUGAGGCCGCGAGCAGCUCUGGGGAGGGCUGGGGAUCCUGGUGGGCAGUAAGACACCUGCACCAUCUCUUAAGGUCUGGCCUCACCUCCCUAGGAAGCCUCACUGAUUCACCCAUCUGGGCACCUGUUCCACUUCUCAGUCAAGACCUGGGUUUUGACAAGUCCAGGCAGAACAUGAAGAUACAGUCCAAACUUAUGGACCAUAUGAAUAAAGAAGCUACCAGAAUGAAAGUCAACAAAAGCACAAGCAGCUGCAGACUUCAAAGACUUCAAAGAACUUCAAGAAAUGAACAGAUCUAGAUUAUUACAAAAGGCCUGCAAAGCUGCUGUUGAAUUGAAUUAACACACCAAUGACCAAAUCCUUACCCAGCGGACCAAUUCCUUUUGGUGCAGUAUAAAUGUACUGUUCUUCAGUGGUGAGGAGAAAAGGCCACCUGGAAUCUCCCUAAAACCCCUCCCAUACUCCAGGCCUGGAGCUGAAACCCUGAGGUGGCAGAGACCCAGCUUUUGGCCAUGCAGCUCUGUCAGCACAGCAUACGGAACAGCAGAACAAGACAGAAGGGACACAGGCCUGAGUGAUUUAACAAUGAGCCACUCCACCAGAUUGGGCCACCUUCCUCCCUUUGGACUGUAAUGUGAGAAGGAAAGAAACAAGUAUCUUAUUUAAUCCACUCCUUCUCACAGCAGAUUCUACUACUGUCAAAUUUGUGGAGAAAAAUGCCAUAACCAGUUGGGAUGGUAUCACCAUAAAUUCCUUGUCUCCAACCUCAGCUGAGUUCCAUUUUCACUUGAUCUUGGUCAGAUCCCUUGCAAAUUUCUCUAAGCAAAGGCUUCAAACUCUCAUGUUGAUCAGGCCUCUACCCAAACCCUUUCAGCCAGUAAUACUGUCUCUCAUGGCACUACACAGGUUGAGACCACCAAGUAGGGUCUCCCACCACGUCCCACCUGCCCCUGAAAUCUUCUCCCCUUAUCCCAGUAUGUAGGUGCCCUUCUCUCUUCUCUGGUCAGACUCCUUCGAUUAAAAUCACAGCUCCACCAUGGGCUGCCCAUCUUGGCCCCGUUUCCUCAACUCUAAAAUGGAGAUGAUGACAGUAAUACUCAACAGGAUUGUGAGGAUAUGAGAUGAUGCAUUCAAAGUGACAGCACAGUGCCUGAUAAACAGUAAGCAGUGGCCACAUGCCACUAACAUUGCAAAAAUAAGUGUGCCCACAUCACUACCUGAUAGAAACCCUUCACUCAUUUCCAAAACCUACAGAACAAAAUCUAAACCUUUUGAUAUGUUAGGCCCUUCAUGACAUAUCUAUUCCCCUUGACUCUUCUCUCUUGCCAUUCUGCUUUGAACACUGUGCUUCAACAAUUCGACCCACAGAUCUAAAAAAUAAAGGCAGUGGUCAGUCAUUCAACAAAUACAUACUAAAAUACACAAUUUUGGCAUUUUAGUGACUAUGCCAAUAAAGUCCCCUUCUGGAAAAGAAUACCCACCUCCCUAAAAAUCACCAACAUGAGAAAGAGCCUACUUUUCAUUUUGUGUCUGGGAAGUGGCACUGAAUUCAGUUUUCUCCUUUGUAAACUGACCUUCCUUUCAGCUAUAAAAUGUGAUGCAAUGCUAAGGUGGCUGUGAGGGAAAAAGCAAUCUUUAUAGUUUAUUUUAAGUCUUAGUAUGUUGUUUAAAUUUACUUGAAAUGUCACUUCCUGUGGAAAAGUAAUGAAGUUCCUUUUAAGAGGGACUUAUGAUACAUAAGGCAGACAGUGAGGCGGGCCACCAAGAGAUGCUAAAGAAUGGGAAGAGGUCCAAAGUGGCCAGAGAGGGCGGAGGAGACAGGGGAAGGCCCUCAGGGUGGAGUCAGUUCCAGAUUUCCGCAAGGCCUGGCAGCACCAGGCUGCAGCCCCCGUCUCUUCCUCUUCCUGACUUCCCAGAAGAGGCACAAAGGGCUGUAGGGAGUACUUACCACUAGACAAGAGUCAGCUUAGGUGGCCAAGCAUACCCGUCAGGUCAAAUAAAUGCCCUUGUCAGCUAAGUCAUCUGUGGGUCUUUCUCGUGGGGGAGGGGGGUUGGGGAGGAAAGGCCGGAGGGACACAGCCUAGAGAUUCCAACACAAAGGCUAAAACACCGGUUUAUCAAGACACUGUACUUCCCGAUGAGGAGAUGAUGGUCAAAUCAAACCCAUUCUGGCCUGAGCAAAGUCAGAGUUAGAGGAAUUUUAUUCAAAUUAUUAACUCUAGUGCUUUUCUGGAGCCAGAACCUAUGGGCAAUUCCUCCUCAAGUGCACAAGAGUUCAGCGUAUCCUGUUCUCCAGGUUAUAUGAACAACUUUUAGGCAUUCCUUAGAUGUAUAUUAAGUGGUGCGGUGGCCAAAUAGUUCCAAUUAAAAAAUCAAUAAAAUUUUAUAUGAAUGCAAAUAAUCUAAAGACACAUAAAUUUAG